GACGAACGCUGGCGGCGUGCCUAAUACAUGCAAGUAGAACGCUGAAGGAGGAGCUUGCUUCUCUGGAUGAGUUGCGAACGGGUGAGUAACGCGUAGGUAACCUGCCUGGUAGCGGGGGAUAACUAUUGGAAACGAUAGCUAAUACCGCAUAAGAGUAGAUGUUGCAUGACAUUUGCUUAAAAGGUGCAAUUGCAUCACUACCAGAUGGACCUGCGUUGUAUUAGCUAGUUGGUGGGGUAACGGCUCACCAAGGCGACGAUACAUAGCCGACCUGAGAGGGUGAUCGGCCACACUGGGACUGAGACACGGCCCAGACUCCUACGGGAGGCAGCAGUAGGGAAUCUUCGGCAAUGGACGGAAGUCUGACCGAGCAACGCCGCGUGAGUGAAGAAGGUUUUCCGAUCGUAAAGCUCUGUUGUAAGAGAAGAACGAGUGUGAGAGUGGAAAGUUCACACUGUGACGGUAUCUUACCAGAAAGGGACGGCUAACUACGUG
rnacentral:rRNA from 1 species